GACGAACGCUGGCGGCGUGCCUAAUACAUGCAAGUCGAGCGAGACUCUUCGGAGUCUAGCGGCGGACGGGUGGGUAACACGUGGGCAACCUGCCUGUAAGACUGGGAUAACACCGGGAAACCGGUGCUAAUACCGGAUAAUCCUUUUUCUCUCAUGAGGAAAAGCUGAAAGUCGGUUUCGGCUGACACUUACAGAUGGGCCCGCGGCGCAUUAGCUAGUUGGUGAGGUAACGGCUCACCAAGGCGACGAUGCGUAGCCGAACUGGUAGGGUGAUCGGACACACUGGGACUGAGGCACGGGCCAGACUCCGACGGGAGGCAGCGGUAGGUAAUCUUCCACAAUGGACGUAAGUCUGAUGGAGCAACUCCGCGUGAGCGAUGAAGGCCUUCGGGUCGUAAAGCUCUGUUGUUAGGGAAGAACAAGUACCGGAGUAACUGCCGGUACCUUGACGGUACCUAACCAGAAAGCCACGGCUAACUACGUGCCAGCAGCCGCGGUAA
rnacentral:rRNA from 1 species